GUAUCCAAUGUAUAUUCCCUUCCAUCUUCCUCAUCACUUCUCUCUCUCUCUUCUCUUCUUCAGUUAUCACUCGCUUUCUCGCUCUAAAUCUCUCCACAUACAGAUAUCAUCAAUAAAAACUUUUAUUGUUACUAUACGUGUUGGGAUAUGAUCUAGGGUUUCGUUUUUAUUCAAAAGUUAUUAGUGCUGCAUAUUCUUCAAUAUCUUGUUUUUGCAAUAGUUAGGGUUCUAGAUCCAUUCACACGGUAUCCUUUUUUUUACAUCAAAUACAUAUUUAUGCAUACACACGCAGAUGCAGUUGGUAUUUGAUUAUUAUUAUUAUUAAUAAUUAUUAUUUGGGAGAAACAAAUAUAGAGAGCUUCCUUGAGUCCAUUCAUAGGGUUUUGGUAUGAUCCAAUUAGCUUCCGACUCAUUCAUCCAAAUAACGAGUCGACAAAAGGAGAGUUAAACGAAGACCCGUUAGAUGAAUGAAUGAUGCGGAGACAAAUUGGAUCUUAGAUCUUCUCUGAUUGGACUGAAGGGAGCUCCCUGUUUUUUCAUUCCUUUAUACUUUAUUAACCCUAGUUUUCCCUUUUCCCGUUGAUUAUUCUCUACUAUCCAUAUAUUCGUGCUUAUAUAUUGCAUAUGUGUAUAUAUAUAUAUGCCCGUAUAAAUCUGUGCAUACUCGAGCAUGUUAUGCGUGUUUUUUGGGUAUGUAUACGUUCGCUAACUAGCAUCUUGUUUCUGGGUUUGCUUUUUUCUUCCAGAACGUUGAUGGAGAACAUUGAAUCUUUUGGUCCGCCGGCCACUCGAUAUCUGACAGUAAAACAUAUAUGUCGGUCCAUGAAAGGCCCUUAACCAUACACUUGUUUUACAGUUUACAAGAUGGGAAUUGCUAGGGUUUUGCGUACAAGGAAAAAGGAAAAGAAAAUACGGUCAAAAAAAGGGGGAGGAGAGGACAAAAUCAUGAGCUUUUUGCCUUCUUGGGGCGUGAGGUGGUGUUGCUGCCGCAACAAGUUCCCAGAAUUUUC